AGACGAAAAGGCAAAUUCUGAGAAAUCAGAAGACGCAAAGCCACGGGACUGAAAUGUCAUAGAAGUUAUUUUACCAAAGUUCGCCGAGCUACAGUCAGCCGGGUUACCGAAA
rnacentral:ncRNA from 1 species